UUCCGGCGCCGCGAUGGCGAUGGCGGCGGCGGAGCCCGAGGAGGAGCUGGCGCACGCCGAGGUGCUGGAGCUCUUCCAGGCGGCGCUGGCGCGGCUGGUGCAGGACCCGCUGCUCUGCGACCUCCCGGCGCAGGUGACGCCGGAGGAGAUCGGCUCGCAGGUGGCGCUCGAGUACGGGCAGGCCAUGACCGUGCGCGUCUGCAAGGCGGACGGCGAAACCAUGCCCGUGGUGGUGGUGCAGAACGCCUCGGUGCUGGAGCUGAAGAAGGCGCUGCGGCGGCACGUGCAGCUGCGGCAGGCGCGGCAGGGCGGCGUCCAGCACCUCAGCUGGAAGUACAUAUGGAGGACCUACCACUUAACCUACGCUGGAGAAAAGCUGGCAGACGACAGAAAGAAGCUGAGAGAGUGAGUAGGUAUGGCAUUAGAAACCGUGAUGAGGUCAGCUUCAUAAAGAAGCUUCGAAAGUAACUUGUCAGUUUCUCCACUUUCUGGUUGAUGGAGACUUGAAUUCAGCUGACUCAUUGUUCUGAGAAGCCAGGACUUACUGCUAGACAACUUUUGUUCAUGGUAUUUUUGUGCAACUGAUGCAUUUAAGAAUGCUUCCAGCACAGGAAGCACUAUUUGUGUAUAUUUACCUGUGUGUAACCCAUGUGGACAUCAUCAUUGCAAUAGCAGACUGUCAUUUAAAAAAAGUUAUGUACACAUAUAAAUGUAUGGUGUGGCCAAGAUUCUCAAGCUUGAUAAGUUUAAAAUUGUGCCAGCUUCUCUAUCCCCCCACCUAAAAACACAUCUAAAACUCUGAAAAGCAGUGGUAAUAUCAGCU